rnacentral:rRNA from 1 species
AUCGAACGCUGGCGGCAGGCCUAAUACAUGCAAGUCGAACGAGUGGCGGACGGGUGAGUAAUGUCUGGGAAACUGCCUGAUGGAGGGGGAUAACUACUGGAAACGGUAGCUAAUACCGCAUACCAUCGGAUGUGCCCAGAUGGGAUUAGCUAGUGGGUGGGGUAAAGGCUGACCUAGGCGACGAUCCCUAGCUGGUCUGAGAGGAUGACCGGCAACACUGGAACUGAGACACGGUCCAGACUCCUACGGGGGGCAGCAGAGGGGAAUAUUGCACAAUGGGCGAAAGCCUGAUGCAGCCAGGCCGCGUGUAUGAGGAAGGCCUUCGGGUUGUAAGGUACUUUCAGCGGGGAGACGUUACCCGCAGAAGAAGCACCGGCUAACUCCGUGCCAGCAGCCGCGGUAAUAC